UGGGGAAUAUUGGACAAUGGGGGGAACCCUGAUCCAGCCAUGCCGCGUGUGUGAAGAAGGCCUUAUGGUUGUAAAGCACUUUAAGCGAGGAGGAGGGUACUGGUAUUAAUACUACCAGGUACUGGACGUUACUCGCAGAAUAAGCACCGGCUAACUCUGUGCCAGCAGCCGCGGUAAUACAGAGGGUGCGAGCGUUAAUCGGAUUUACUGGGCGUAAAGCGUGCGUAGGCGGCUAAUUGAGUCGGAUGUGAAAUCCCCGAGCUUAACUUGGGAAGUGCCUUCGAUACUGGUUAGCUAGAGUGUGGGAGAGGGUGGUAGAAUUCCAGGUGUAGCGGUGAAAUGCGUAGAGAUCUGGAAGAAUACCGAUGGCGAAGGCAGCCAUCUGGCCUAACACUGACGCUGAGGUACGAAAGCAUGGGGAGCAAACAGG
rnacentral:rRNA from 1 species